GCAGUCGCCGCGGGAAUACAGAGGGUGCGAGCGUUAAUCGGAUUUACUGGGCGUAAAGCGUGCGUAGGCGGCUUCUUAAGUCGGAUGUGAAAUCCCUGAGCUUAACUUAGGAAUUGCAUUCGAUACUGGGAAGCUAGAGUAUGGGAGAGGAUGGUAGAAUUCCAGGUGUAGCGGUGAAAUGCGUAGAGAUCUGGAGGAAUACCGAUGGCGAAGGCAGCCAUCUGGCCUAAUACUGACGCUGAGGUACGAAAGCAUGGGGAGCAAACAGGAUUAGAGACCCCAGUAGUCCCUGUCUCUUAUAC
rnacentral:rRNA from 1 species